rnacentral:rRNA from 12 species
CUUAUUACUAACAUUACCCUGCUCAAGCCUGAUCUUGUCUAUCCUAAGGAAGCAAGCAGGGUGGGACCUGGUUAGUACUUGGAUGGGAGACCCCUUCGGAAUACCAGGUGCUACAAGC